rnacentral:ribozyme from 14 species
CACAAUUUUUAAUUGUUUUUUUUUUUUUUUUUUUUUUUCCCGUUAUGCGCAGCA